rnacentral:sRNA from 2 species
ACACAAAAAAUGCCGAAUCCAUACGGUACGGAGGAACCAAUUUGGGGGUGAAUCCUGCUUGCCAGGUAGGGAUUUCCUUGCCCGAACCCGUCAGCUAACUCCGGAGGCAACAAGGAAAGGAGAC